UCUGUGGAGCCGCGACUUGUAUCAGGCUGGUAACUUCGUCUUCCUUUUCUAAAAAACUUGUCUCUUCUUUAAACUGUGUCGAGAUAUUUUUCUUCCAUAUUAAUCUUCCUCAAUAUGGACCCCCAGAAAGAGGCCCUACAUCGGAUAAUUGCAACGCUCUCCAGCAAAAAUGAGGAACUCCAUAGUUUCAUUGAUACACUGAGCCACUUGCUAAGAGGCGUGCAGGAAAAUUCUUCGAAAGUUAUAUUGGACCUAGACGAGGAAUUUGAUAGUCUUUACUCUGUCCUAGACGAGAUGAAAGCGAGCAUGACAAACAAAAUAAAACUGGAGCAGGCCCGAAAAACUCAGGAACUCCAGAACCAACACACCCAGAGCAUUGGGGCCUUGGAAAGCUCAGAAGAGUUACUGGAGUUUGCCAACAAUGCACUGGACAUCAAAGACCCUGAGGGAUUCACAAAGGCUGCUAUACAGAUCAAGGAGAGGGUGACAAUGGCUCCAGCGUUUCGCUUGACGAUGAAGCCGAAGGCCACUGACUGUAUGACUCAUCUGAUGGUCGAUUUCUCUCGGGAAAGGCAAAUGAUUCAGUCCCUCAAGUUCCUGCCAGUUCCAAGCGCUCCAGAAGUAGAAGUUUCAGACUGUCUGGUUGCUGACAACUCGGUAACAGUAGUGUGGAGAAUGCCAGAGGACUCUAAGAUUGAAUACUACGUACUGGAAUACAGGAAGACCAACUAUGAUGGGCUUCCCAGGAUAAAAGAUGAGCGCUGCUGGGAGGUUGUUGAUAACAUCAAGGCCACUGAAUAUUCGUUGACAGGUUUAAAGUUUGACUCCAAAUACAUGAACUUCAGAGUGAGAGCUUGUAACAAAGCAGCUGCAGGGGAUUACUCCAAUCCAAUUACACUCGAAACUAGAGCCUUUAACUUUAGUUUUGAUUCGACGUCGUCACACCAGAACCUGAAAGUAGAAGAUGGCUGUGUGGAGUGGGAUUCUGCAGGGGGCAAAGGGCAAGAUAGCAAAACCAAGGGCAAGGAGAGCAAGGGCAGCGGCCAUAUUACCAUUCUGAAGAACACUUCAAGAAGUGGCACUCCAUCUCCCAAACGGACGUCCGUCUCCUCAAGGCCACCGUCAGUGAGAGGAAGCAGAGACCGUUUUACAGGGGAGUCGUACACAGUGCUGGGUGACACAUGCAUUGACAAUGGGCAGCAUUACUGGGAAGUGAAGGCCCAAAAGGACUGCAAAUCUUACAGCCUGGGUGUGGCCUUCAGAAACCUGGGGAAAUUUGACCAGCUGGGCAAGACGAGCACAAGCUGGUGCAUCCAUGUCAAUAACUGGCUGCAGGCCACCUUCGCAGCCAAGCACAACAACAAAGCCAAGACCCUGGAUAUGCCAGUCCCUGACAGGAUAGGUGUCUACUGUGAUUUUGAUGGAGGUCAGCUUUUAUUUUACAAUGCAGACACCAAACAGUUGCUGCACACAUUCAAAACAAAGUUCACCCAGCCAAUUCUUCCGGCUUUCAUGGUCUGGUGUGGAGGGCUGACAUUGUUUACAGGACUCCAGGUCCCCAGUGCAGUGAAAUGCUUCCAAAAAACGGAGAACGGCUCAAGCGGCUCAGCCAACAGUCUCAACAGUGUAGCGCAUUAGCAACCAGCAAGAGGAUUCUGCCUUUCUUUAUGCACGGUGCGCUUUUUAUCGGCCAGAAAACAAACCUGGAAGCUGGCUUGACACAAGGAGCGGUUAGUCUGCUGCUAAGAACUACAUGGAAGAGAAGACCGGAACAUAUCUUUCAAGCUAGUAAAUCAGAAGAUGGAUUGGGAUAUUUCCCAUUACAAAGUAAAACUACAAAGAUGGGACAGUACAAGGAUGCACAUAAAGAAGAUGCACAGGAAUUGACCAAGACUGAACAAAUGUAAAUGAACAAAAAAAAAAAAAAAAACCUUCACUUGUAAAAUCACCAGAUGUUUAAUAUACAUGUAUUGAUCUUGUAUUCAGUAGUAAUUUGCAUUUCUUCAUAGCUCAUCUUUCUGUUAAGCUAUUUUCCCUUUGAAUCUGCUACGUCAAUACCACCCAGUUUAACUGUUCAGCAUUUGCAUGGUAAGAUAGACACCUGCAGCUCUGAAUAGGUUUUAUUUAUUUCUAAUGUUUGUUUUAAUGUGAGUUGUUCAAAAUGAAUACUGUAUUUAUAUCCUGGUUUAAAUAAUAAACUGGGCAGUUUGAAGUCUGUAGGAAUUUUACUUACAGGGGUGUGUUGAAUUGCAGUUGGUUGUGAACAACGCUAGGAAUCAAAGGGUUAAAUGUGUAAUAACCAAAGUAAAAAAAAAAAAAGAAAGUUCUUACGUCGCACAGCUCUUUUUGUUUUGACAGUUCUUUAUUUUCAGAGACUUUAUUUUGAAUGUGUUUUCAUAUUAAACAUUAAUUAGACAGCAA